rnacentral:lncRNA from 1 species
UUCAGCCAUUUCUAUCAUUAAAAACACCCCAUCGGCUCUCUUCAUCUUCAACCUUAAGACACCCUAGGCUCCAUCAACACACACACACAGAGCCAAACAACCACCCAAAACACCCCCUCAAUCGUCGCUCCUCUCAACCAAAAAGCCACCAGCGACCAUCCCUCUCAAAAAGCUAAAAAGCAGCGAUCUCUCCCUCACAACAAACCAUCGAAAGACCAACCAAAUCUCUCAUAAUUCCCUACUUUCGUCAGACCUCCUCUCUUAAAUUCUGAGCCGCCACACAUAGACCACCCUAAAGACCACAAAUUAGCCACCCUACCCUCUUCCGUUCUCCCAGUAGCAGCUCGCCAGCGAGCUUAGUCGACUAGCCUAGCGACCACCCUCCAGCUAGCAGCAACAGACGUCGAAGAUAGAAAAAGAACAGAUAUAGAGGGUCGAAAACAGAGGGGGGAGGAACGGACACUAUGAAUAAAAUAGAAAGGGAUAGAGCACAAAAUUGAUUUUCUCUUCAGAACAAGAAGGCACACCUAUUUACUUUACCAUUUUCUGAUUCAUAAAACAAUCACUCACAUAGAUAAGCUAGAAGAGAAAAAACGAAGAUAAAUCAGUAGAGAACACAGGUAAAAAAUCUGGACAGAAAUUAAAAAUGGAGUCAAGCCGAGUCCAAUCCGAGUUCGUCGCCGAUUGGAGGUUCUAGUCAUGAUGUGUGUGUUCCAGUUCAUGGCCCUUAAGUCAUUUUGAUGUUGUACUUUGCGAUUGGAUUCGGUAGAUUCGAGGCACUGUACAUGCAUCCUCCCGAUUAAUCAAAAGGUUUCGCGCGUUAAGGUUCAAUCCUUCAAUCCUUUACUCAUUCUAAUGUUAACUAUUUGCUUGGUGAUUCGAUUUUGUGACUUGUUAUCUAUGGUUUUGAAUGUGCCCGCUCAUAUGUCUACUUGAAUUGAUUGCGAGUGAAUUGGAAUCGCAUGUUUAUUUGUUUGAAUCGUAUGCUUAAUUUGAAUUGGAAAAUGGGACUGUCAGUUGUUGGAUUUAAAAGAACAAUCUAGGGAGAUGCUAUUUAAAAUAAAAUUGGACUUAAAAGUUAUGGAAUGAGAUAAAAUACGAGUUUUAAGUAUUCUAAAUUUUUCAUUUACGUAGAUCUAUUUACUAAUUUAUCGGUAGGAGCAUGCUUAGGUCGUCAACACUUGGGUAGGCAAACCUUAGGUUUUAUUAUUUCUUUCGAGGCGAGGGGUCGUUCCCUUAGUUAAAUUUAUUCGGGGAAUACCCUAAAAGAUUUGUAUAUAUUUUUAUCUGGGGUAUGCCCCGUAGUAUCAUCUAUUUGGAAGCGUGAAAAGUAUAGUAUAUAUUAGUAUUUAGGAUUUUACUUUUAUUUUCCUUGAUUAGGUGGGAAUGACCUCAAGCCUCUAGUGUGUUUAUUUUUCUCUUUUUGUAUUUUUACCUCAAUUUGAAUAUUUCUAAAAGCCAACUUGAUCAUGUACGCAACCGUACUAGUUACGGGACUCGGGGAAUGCCUAACACCUUUUCCCCUAGUCAAAUAAACCCCCUUACCUGAAUCUCUGGUGCAGACUUAGUUUUGGAGUCCAAAGUGGUUUAAAAGGAAAAAUCAUUUUUUAUAAAAAAAAUGAUGACCUGGCACACCGAAACCAAUGUCAGGUGGCGACUCUGAAAAAUUCUUUUGAACACAAUUUUGUCACUUCAAUAAUUGAAACCCUUUUGAGCUUUACAAAAUCCUUUUAUUUAUUUUAAGAGGGGUUAGUUAGGUUGAAAAAAAGGGAUGUGACAGCUUUGGCGACUCCGCUGGGGAGUUGCAGGUUCGAGCUGAUACUUGAUCUUGUUGGCUUUUAGGAUAUUCGGUUGAGGUGUUUGUUUUCUUUAUUUGCUUUGUUUAGUUGGUUUUUUGUCUUAUUUCCUGUUUUGUUGGUUAUUUGUUUAUCGUUUUUCCUUAUGUGGUUACUGCUUUAUAACUGUCAUCAUUUGCAUAACCAUGGGUCUUUUUUCUGCAACAAGUCUUUCGAAGUGCGUUUGAGUGUACACGGCCUUUUUGUGAGUCACCCGUGUCUUUAGGGGGUGGCAUGGGAGUGUGGAGUGGGCGGACAGCUAGAGCAGCUGCCAUCGACCACGUGCCACCCCGAAUUACCUUGUCUAGUGAACCCCAAACUUAGGUCAGCCUCUAGGUCAUGCUUAUUUGCAUCAUGUCCUUUACACUUAGUAGGGCUCGGUCCCAGGAACCGUGUCUCUUUGUAGGAGGCCUAUCCAACCUAUGUCAAAACGGGCCCAUGGCCCAAAAAGACAUUUGAGCAUUCCUAUAUGCUAAAUGUUGCAUUCUUUUAGGGUAAGUGGAUCAUUUGGCGGACUAAGGAGAUAAAAGAGGGCGAGGUAUAAAAUGACGCAAGUAGGACACAAUUAUUUUUUUUCUUUCACAACUUUUUCAAGAAAAGACCAAAAAAAAAUUAAAAUAAAAAUCCAAAAAGAUUUUGCACUUUCCCAUCAUUUCCCAAAAAAUCCAAAAAAAAAAAGAGAAAAAGAAAACCCUAAAAAUAUUUACAUUUUAUCAUUUUUCAAAAAAAAAGACAAAACAUGUUUCUCCAAAUUAGUUUUUUUCCUCUCCCAUAUCCAAUCUUCCCGAACUACGCAUACCUGAUUCUCGUCUUUCGGAGCGAGAUAUGUAGGCAGCCCACAUAGGGUCCAGUCUUUCUAGUAUAUCUUAGGUUCUUGGCUUCGCGAGGUCUUAGCCAAAUCUUGCAUGUCUAGCCACGUUCGGCCACAUCAGCUAUUUUUGCAAAAUGGGGUCAUUUUCGCAGAAGUGGUUCAAUGAUCUAUGUCUUAGGUCCUAAGUCCACAACAAGGUGUCCUCUUUGUUUAAGGUCCAUUCCUGUUAAAUUUGCAUGCUUAGCUAUUUUUGGCCACAUAGGCCAUUUCUGCAAAAUGGGGUCAUUUUUGCAAAGUAACUUUAGAGGUUAUGAUUCCUUGAUGUUUAAGGCCAUAUAGGCCUUUAUGAGGUGUUUCCUUAUUGAUUUUUUCACUUUCAGUCUUUUUUGGCUACGUAAGCCUUUUUGCAAAAAAAGCCUCAUUUGUGAUUUGCAUCUGUCCAAUAGGAUGUGUUAUGGCCUCACAUAGUGUCUCGAGUCACUAACUCUAUUUGGUCUUAUUUCUCUCAUUUAGGAAUGGAUCAGUGUACCAUAACUCAAGCAUGACAGAUACCCCAAGACCACUGCAUUUAGGAGUUGCUUAAGGAGCCUUUUUAUGUUGUGAGUCUGUUUUUAUGUUUAUCUUUCACUUUGUAGUCUUGUCCAGUAGUAUUGCAUCUUUUAGAUGAUGUCAAAGUCUAUCAUAAUCUAGUUGAGUUUGUCGAGUCUUUUGUUAUCGUGCUUACUGUUUUGUAUUUGAAAACAAAAAAAAUAGUUAUAAAUGAAAAAUCCAAAAUGAUUUUGUUUUUUAGUUUAUUUUGUUCAUUAUUUUCAGAACUACGCUUGAUCUGAUUCAUGGGGGAUAUGAUACGUAGGCAACCUACAUAGGGUUCGAUCAAAUCAUUAUUUAAAAAAAAAGAAAAAGAAGAAAAAAAUGAAGUUAUGGGAUGUGAUAAAUGAGAGGGAAGAAAAGAGUGAA